rnacentral:rRNA from 1 species
CUUGGUCAUUUAGAGGAAGUAAAAGUCGUAACAAGGUUUCCGUAGGUGAACCUGCGGAAGGAUCAUUAAUGUAACCGGACCGGUCCUCUGCCGUCAAACGCAGCGGAUGGGAAUGGGAGAUAUCAUACACCCUAUGUUUAUUUACUUUUGUUGCUUUGGCGGGCCGUCCUCUUAGGCGUCGGCCCCGGCUGAUCGCGCCCGCCAGAGGACCCAAACUCUUUUAUCAGUGAUGUCUGAGUAUUAUAUAAUAGUUAAAACUUUCAACAACGGAUCUCUUGGUUCUGGCAUCGAUGAAGAACGCAGCGAAAUGCGAUAAGUAAUGUGAAUUGCAGAAUUCAGUGAAUCAUCGAAUCUUUGAACGCACAUUGCGCCCGCUGGUAUUCCGGCGGGCAUGCCUGUUCGAGCGUCAUUAUGACCAAUCAAGCUCUGCUUGGCUUUGGGGCCCGCUGUACCGGCGGCUCUUAAAAUCAGUGGCGGUGCCGUCUGGUUCUAAGCGUAGUAAUAAUUCUCGCUAUAGGGUUUAGUCGUCCACCCGCCAUAACCCCCAACUUUCUUAGGUUGACCUCGGAUCAGGUAGGGAUACCCGCUGAACUUAAGCAUAUCAAUAAGCGGAGGA